AGGGAAACAACCCAGACCGCCAGCUAAGGUCCCAAAGUCAUGGUUAAGUGGGAAACGAUGUGGGAAGGCCCAGACAGCCAGGAUGUUGGCUUAGAAGCAGCCAUCAUUUAAAGAAAGCGUAAUAGCUCACUGGUCGAGUCGGCCUGCGCGGAAGAUGUAACGGGGCUAAACCAUGCACCGAAGCUGCGGCAGCGACACUCAGGUGUUGUUGGGUAGGGGAGCGUUCUGUAAGCCUGUGAAGGUGGCCUGUGAGGGUUGCUGGAGGUAUCAGAAGUGCGAAUGCUGACAUAAGUAACGAUAAAGCGGGUGAAAAGCCCGCUCGCCGGAAGACCAAGGGUUCCUGUCCAACGUUAAUCGGGGCAGGGUGAGUCGACCCCUAAGGCGAGGCCGAAAGGCGUAGUCGAUGGGAAACGGGUUAAUAUUCCCGUACUUGGUGUUACUGCGAAGGGGGGGACGGAGAAGGCUAUGUUGGCCGGGCGACGGUUGUCCCGGUUUAAGCGUGUAGGUGUGUGUUCCAGGUAAAUCCGGUUCACUUUAACACUGAGGCGUGACGACGAGGCACUACGGUGCUGAAGCAACAAAUGCCCUGCUUCCAGGAAAAGCCUCUAAGCAUCAGGUAACAUCAAAUCGUACCCCAAACCGACACAGGUGGUCAGGUAGAGAAUACCAAGGCGCUUGAGAGAACUCGGGUGAAGGAACUAGGCAAAAUGGUGCCGUAACUUCGGGAGAAGGCACGCUGACACGUAGGUGAAGUGAUUUACUCAUGGAGCUGAAGUCAGUCGAAGAUACCAGCUGGCUGCAACUGUUUAUUAAAAACACAGCACUGUGCAAACACGAAAGUGGACGUAUACGGUGUGACGCCUGCCCGGUGCCGGAAGGUUAAUUGAUGGGGUCAGCGCAAGCGAAGCUCCUGAUCGAAGCCCCGGUAAACGGCGGCCGUAACUAUAACGGUCCUAAGGUAGCGAAAUUCCUUGUCGGGUAAGUUCCGACCUGCACGAAUGGCGUAAUGAUGGCCAGGCUGUCUCCACCCGAGACUCAGUGAAAUUGAACUCGCUGUGAAGAUGCAGUGUACCCGCGGCAAGACGGAAAGACCCCGUGAACCUUUACUAUAGCUUGACACUGAACAUUGAGCCUUGAUGUGUAGGAUAGGUGGGAGGCUUUGAAGUGUGGACGCCAGUCUGCAUGGAGCCGACCUUGAAAUACCACCCUUUAAUGUUUGAUGUUCUAACGUGGACCCGUUACCCGGGUUGCGGACAGUGUCUGGUGGGUAGUUUGACUGGGGCGGUCUCCUCCUAAAGAGUAACGGAGGAGCACGAAGGUUGGCUAAUCCUGGUCGGACAUCAGGAGGUUAGUGCAAUGGCAUAAGCCAGCUUGACUGCGAGCGUGACGGCGCGAGCAGGUGCGAAAGCAGGUCAUAGUGAUCCGGUGGUUCUGAAUGGAAGGGCCAUCGCUCAACGGAUAAAAGGUACUCCGGGGAUAACAGGCUGAUACCGCCCAAGAGUUCAUAUCGACGGCGGUGUUUGGCACCUCGAUGUCGGCUCAUCACAUCCUGGGGCUGAAGUAGGUCCCAAGGGUAUGGCUGUUCGCCAUUUAAAGUGGUACGCGAGCUGGGUUUAGAACGUCGUGAGACAGUUCGGUCCCUAUCUGCCGUGGGCGCUGGAGAACUGAGGGGGGCUGCUCCUAGUACGAGAGGACCGGAGUGGACGCAUCACUGGUGUUCGGGUUGUCAUGCCAAUGGCACUGCCCGGUAGCUAAAUGCGGAAGAGAUAAGUGCUGAAAGCAUCUAAGCACGAAACUUGCCCCGA
rnacentral:rRNA from 3 species